AGGGUUUGAUCAUGGCUCAGAUUGAACGCUGGCGGCAGGCUUAACACAUGCAGGUCGAGCGGGGUGAAGUGCUUCGGUACUGAUCCUAGCGGCGGACGGGUGAGUAAUGCUUAGGAAUCUGCCUAUUAGUGGGGGACAACAUUCCGAAAGGAAUGCUAAUACCGCAUACGUCCUACGGGAGAAAGCAGGGGAUCUUCGGACCUUGCGCUAAUAGAUGAGCCUAAGUCGGAUUAGCUAGUUGGUGGGGUAAAGGCCUACCAAGGCGACGAUCUGUAGCGGGUCUGAGAGGAUGAUCCGCCACGCUGGGACUGAGACACGGCCCAGACUCCUACGGGAGGCAGCAGUGGGGAAUAUUGGACAAUGGGCGGAAGCCUGAUCCAGCCAUGCCGCGUGUGUGAAGAAGGCCUUUUGGUUGUAAAGCACUUUAAGCGAGGAGGAGGCUACCUGGAUUAAUACUCUGGGAUAGUGGACGUUACUCGCAGAAUAAGCACCGGCUAACUCUGUGCCAGCAGCCGCGGUAAUACAGAGGGUGCGAGCGUUAAUCGGAUUUACUGGGCGUAAAGCGUGCGUAGGCGGCUGAUUAAGUCGGAUGUGAAAUCCCUGAGCUUAACUUAGGAAUUGCAUUCGAUACUGGUCAGCUAGAGUAUGGGAGAGGAUGGUAGAAUUCCAGGUGUAGCGGUGAAAUGCGUAGAGAUCUGGAGGAAUACCGAUGGCGAAGGCAGCCAUCUGGCCUAAUACUGACGCUGAGGUACGAAAGCAUGGGGAGCAAACAGGAUUAGAUACCCUGGUAGUCCAUGCCGUAAACGAUGUCUACUAGCCGUUGGGGCCUUUGAGGCUUUAGUGGCGCAGCUAACGCGAUAAGUAGACCGCCUGGGGAGUACGGUCGCAAGACUAAAACUCAAAUGAAUUGACGGGGGCCCGCACAAGCGGUGGAGCAUGUGGUUUAAUUCGAUGCAACGCGAAGAACCUUACCUGGCCUUGACAUACUAGAAACUUUCCAGAGAUGGAUUGGUGCCUUCGGGAAUCUAGAUACAGGUGCUGCAUGGCUGUCGUCAGCUCGUGUCGUGAGAUGUUGGGUUAAGUCCCGCAACGAGCGCAACCCUUUUCCUUACUUGCCAGCAUUUCGGAUGGGAACUUUAAGGAUACUGCCAGUGACAAACUGGAGGAAGGCGGGGACGACGUCAAGUC
rnacentral:rRNA from 1 species